rnacentral:rRNA from 1 species
GUUGUAUGGUUAAGUGACUAAGCGUACACGGUGGAUGCCUUGGCAGUCAGAGGCGAUGAAAGACGUAGUAACUUGCGAUAAGCCCAGAUUAGGUAGUAACAACCAUUUGAGUCUGGGAUUUCUGAAUGGGGAAACCCACGUGCAUAAGCACGUAUCGUUAUGUGAAUACAUAGCAUAACGAGGCGAACCGGGGGAACUGAAACAUCUAAGUACCCCGAGGAAAAGAAAUCAACCGAGAUUCCGAAAGUAGCGGCGAGCGAAAUUGGACUAGCCCUUAAGCUUUACACGCGUUAGACGAACGGUCUGGAAAGUCCGACGAUACAGGGUGAUAGUCCCGUAGUUGACGACGUGUGUUCAGUGAAAUCGAGUAGGGCGGGACACGUGAUAUCCUGUCUGAAUAUGGGGGGACCAUCCUCCAAGGCUAAAUACUACUGACUGACCGAUAGUGAACCAGUACCGUGAGGGAAAGGCGAAAAGAACCCCUGUGAGGGGAGUGAAAUAGAACCUGAAACCGUGUACGUACAAGCAGUAGGAGCACCUUCGUGGUGUGACUGCGUACCUUUUGUAUAAUGGGUCAGCGACUUAUAUUCAGUGGCAAGGUUAACCAUCUAGGGGAGCCGUAGGGAAACCGAGUCUUAACUGGGCGUUCAGUCUCUGGAUAUAGACCCGAAACCAGGUGAUCUAGCCAUGGGCAGGUUGAAGGUUGAGUAACAUCAACUGGAGGACCGAACCGACUAAUGUUGAAAAAUUAGCGGAUGACUUGUGGCUAGGGGUGAAAGGCCAAUCAAACCUGGAGAUAGCUGGUUCUCCCCGAAAGCUAUUUAGGUAGCGCCUCGGACGAAUACUACUGGGGGUAGAGCACUGUUAAGGCUAGGGGGUCAUCCCGACUUACCAACCCUUUGCAAACUCCGAAUACCAGUAAGUACUAUCCGGGAGACACACGGCGGGUGCUAACGUCCGUCGUGGAGAGGGAAACAACCCAGACCGCCAGCUAAGGUCCCAAAUUACUACUAAGUGGGAAACGAUGUGGGAAGGCUCAGACAGCCAGGAUGUUGGCUUAGAAGCAGCCAUCAUUUAAAGAAAGCGUAAUAGCUCACUGGUCGAGUCGGCCUGCGCGGAAGAUGUAACGGGGCUAAGUAGUAAACCGAAGCUGCGGCAAUAUACUUUUGUAUAUUGGGUAGGGGAGCGUUCUGUAAGCGGUUGAAGGUGUGUGGUAACGCAUGCUGGACGUAUCAGAAGUGCGAAUGCUGACAUGAGUAACGAUAAAGGGGGUGAAAAACCUCCUCGCCGGAAGACCAAGGGUUCCUGUCCAACGUUAAUCGGGGCAGGGUAAGUCGACCCCUAAGGCGAGGCCGAAAGGCGUAGUCGAUGGGAAACGGGUUAAUAUUCCCGUACUUCUUACAAUUGCGAUGGGGGGACGGAGAAGGCUAGGUGGGCCUGGCGACGGUUGUCCAGGUUCAAGUGCGUAGGCUUAAGAGUUAGGUAAAUCCGGCUCUUUUUAAGGCUGAGACACGACGUCGAGC